GGAUAGCGCAGUUGGUAGAGCAGAAGACUCUUAAUCUUAUGGUCGUGGGUUUGAGCCCCAUGUUGGGCAACA